AAUGCUCUGCUCUUUCGGUUCUAUCCGCGUAAGAUUCCGUGUUGGUCUCUUUCGGUGGGGGAAAUAUUUGCGUCUUUGAGCCGGGAUUUCAGUUUGUACGAGUUGAGGCUUGGUUUUUCCUUCUGCAUAAAGGUUACUUUACAUGCCAGGGAUUAUGAGAAUUUUUUUUUGGUUUGCAAUUAUGCUUGCUGAUUUGGUUGCGGGUUGGAUUUCUAUAGGCAGCGUUGGUGUUGAGUGGGUGGCCCAACAAGAUGAGGAAUGAACCGAACAGCGAAAGGAAAGGCGAUGACAAUGAACAUGAAGGUCAGGACAACGACGAGGCCUCAGUGUCGAAGAAGCAGAGGGUGGUGUGGUCAGGUGAGCUCGGGAUUGACAGUCAAAAACACAUCCCCACGUUGCCUUUUGCUUUCUGUUAAAUGUUCUUGCAGGCUGCAGCAAACCCAUCCAUGCUGCGUCGUCCUUUCUCUUACUGUUGGUUGCAGAGGCUGUACCUAAAAGAAUACUUCAGCUUAUGAACGUGGAGAAGUUCCCUAGGGAAAAUAUUGCAAGUCAUCUACGGAUAUUGCGGCAUGGCAUUUAUUCCCACAAUCAUCUUUAUAUAUUCAAGUGUUAUCUCUUUGAUUCAUGAUUCAUGAGCAUGUGAUGCACAAAGAGAAAAUUUUACAGAAUUGGCACCAACAUUAUGUUCAAAGUGGCCUUGUUGUCCUGUGUCAAAUUAUAUAAGAGGGCCAACUUUUGACCAAUUAUUUUUUGAAAAAUAUAUUCUUAUGCAGAGUCCUUAUCCCGUUAUUUUAUUAGUAUCAACAUGCCUAUCAGUUGCAAAGCAGUGACUAAUUUGGCACUAUAGCCAGUGUCCAUGCAAAAUGAGUUAAAUAGUUUAAUCUUACAGUUCCAUAUUUUCACCUUCCCGUUAUAGGUGUUGAGUAUUGUUGGCUACAUAUUCCAGUUGUUGCAUAUAGUGGCUUGUGAAGCAUAAUCGUGAAUUGCAUAUUAGUGUAAUUAAGGAAGUCUAGAUUGUGAUCUACUGACUAUCAUGGCUCGGUAGAGGCCUUCCUUAAAAAUUCAAAGAAAACUUCUUGAUUGAAAGUUGAUACUUGAUAGCUGUUUCCACAAGUAAUAAAUAUUUUUAGAUUUUUUCCAAGAUCUUAAGAUUAUCAUCUUCUGUUACAUUGCCGGAGACACUGACCUAUUAAUUAUCAUCUUCAUGUUACAUAAGCUUAUAAGCGAAAAGCUGGGUGAGGAAGUCUGCAAUCCGAGUUUAAAGCUUCCCCUGUUUAAAACCUUGCAAAGUGAGAGGCUUAACUUUUUGAAAGCAGUAGCAUAGUUUUGAGGAUGAGUGGGAUACAUUCAGAAAUUACAGACUCCUUAACAUACAAUGAUCUCCUUGUUUCUUCUUACAAAGAGUGUCGAGUGCCAUGGCUGUAUGUUUAUAUCAUAAAGACAUCUAACCUUAAUUUAUUUGUGUAUUGAAUCCAUGGUAUUCCAUUUCUCUUUUUUUAUCGAAUGUGGUGCGAUUUCAUUAAGUGAAAAGCAUUCUUUGGUUUUCUGAUUCUACCUAUAUUUAGCAAUUGUUUUAUCCUUUGAUGGCCAAUGUUUGUCUAUUGUUCUUUUUAACCUAUUACAGUUUAUAACUGUUCAAGACUACUCAACUUCUGUGGAGAGGUACUAAUAGUUCAGCUCUUCAUGCAGAGUUCAAAAGGUUGUCAAAGUGCUUCUUUCCAAUUGAUAGGAGAUAGCAUAAACUGUCAUGAUUAUCCAGAAAUAAAAAUCCAAGAAAGCUUGCAACUUCUGGGUGUUGGUUAAUAUAAAUUUGAGAUGUUGGUUCUUGUUAGAUGUGUAUAGCCCCUUUUCGGUUUAUCCCCAUUGUAUAAGAGGUUUCUUGCACUUCACCACACACUUGUAUAUAUAUUUUUGCCUUUGGCCCUCCUGAGAAUACAAUUGCUGUUUAUCCAACAUGGUAUCAGAUGUUAGGUUCCCCUCUCCCUCGCACGCUGCAACUCCGUGCUAGCUCCUCCCCCGAUCCAUCCACUGCCCAGUCCGGCUCCCCUCGCCGUGGAUCCAGCCAACCCAACUCUCCUCGCGGCUCUCCUCGCCGCGGAUCUGGCCAUCCGCUUUGGGCUCCUGCCCGCAGCCGCCCGUAGGCGUUGGCCCACGCCGCCCCGCCCGCCGGCUACUCUGCCCGCGGCAGCUGCUGCUGGCCCCGUGCCACGCCCGGCCGCCAUCGGCUCCUCGCCACGUCCAGCCGCCGCCGCCUCCCUGCAGCGCCUAGCCACCGCCGGGGCUGCCCUGUGCCCCGCCACCUCCUGACCUACGCCCGGCACGCGCCCCGCCGCCUCCUGGCUUGCGCCCAGUGCGCCCCGUCGCCCCCGUCCGGCUCGAUCUCUCUUCCAAAUCGAGGCCCUCUUGCCUCGCUCUGCUUCUGGAUCGAGAGGAGCCCCCGUCCGGCUCGAUCUCUCUUCCAGAUCGAGACACUCUUGCCUCGCUCUGCUUCUGGAUUGAGAGGCUCGUCUGCUCGCGUUUUGGGCUAGCGUGCGCCUUGGCCCGAUCUAGAUCGGGUCCCUUCUGUCUGUUGACCAAAAGAAAGAGAGAGAGAGAGAGAGAAGAGAGAGAGAGAGAGAGAUCAAAAGGGGGAUAUCUCAGUAUGUCAUCUUCAGGCUAUGUGGCUGUUCCUCGAUGCUCGGUGAUCUUUGAUGGCACCAACUAUGCCGAGUUUGCAGGCUUCAUGCGCAUUCAUAUGCGUCGUCUUCUUCUGUGGGGUGUUCUUUCUGGCGAGGUAUCCUGUCCGCCAUGUCCUGUUGCGCCCGUGGCCCCAAUCCCACCGGUGCCGCCGGUCCUUGCUGAUGAUGCUUCUCAGGCUGACCGAGAAGCUGCCAAGGCUCUGGAUGCUACUGCGGUUGAUGCUUAUGAUCAGCAGGUAUCCGCUUAUUCCGAUGCUCUCUCUGUGUACCGGGAUGAUCUGUCUGCUUACACUCAGUGGUGCAAUGAUGAUGCUCGAGCUGCUGAUGUUCUCACUGCGAGUGUCCUCCCUUAGUUUGCUUCCGAGUUCAUGGGACUUGGCACAGUUGCAGCGAUGUGGUCUUAUCUCUGUCAGCGCUAUCAGCCCUCUGGUGAUGCUCUCUACCUAUCUGUGGUGCGUCAGGAGCACGCACUUCAGCAAGGUGAUUCUUCUGUUGAUGAGUUCUACUCCCAGUGCUCUGCCAUCUGGCGCCAGCUUGACUCUCUUCGGACAGUUGUUUGUGGAACCUGUCAUUGCUGCCAGACUACUCGGUCUGAUCUGGAGUUUUAGCGGGUCCAUGAGUUCUUAUCUCGCCUCCGGUCUGAGUUUGAGCCUCGGCGUGCUCACUUGCUUGCUCGUGGUCGUGUUCCUAUCUCAGAGAUACUUGCUGAGCUUCGCGCUGAGGAGACCCGCCUUCGCUCUGCUGGGUUGCUUCUGGUUCCGUCAGUACUGGAUGCUCGAGCUCCUGCCUCGUGUGCUCGCCUCACUACUCAGCCGCUCCUGCCUACUCCCCCAGGGGGGUGAGCCGUCCUCCUUAUGCUGAGAAGGGCACGUCGCGACGUGACACUGUCUGUGGUUACUGCUCCCGGCCAGGUCACCCAGAGUCUAAUUGUCGCCAGAAGAAGCGAGACCAGAGGUGCUCGUCCUUCAGCAGGACUCCUGUGUCUUCCUCGACUUCGUCACUCACUGACCAGGACAUUGUUCGCCUCAAGCGUCUGCUUGCUUCCUCGGGCUCCUCAUCGACUGGCUCCGCUGUUGCUGUGACUGCAUCCCCUUCCUCAUCAUCACCGGCAUCUACACAAUCAGGUACAUCCUCGUGGGUUCUAGAUUUUGGAGCCUCCUUUCAUAUGUCUUCUGAUUCUUCCGCGUUGUCUUCUCUCCGACCUCUUGAUUCGCCUAUUAAUGUUCUUACUGCCGAUGGCACAUCUCUUCCUGUUGCUAGUCGUGGUAUUCUUUCCACUCCGUUCUUUUCUGUUCCGAGUGUUUCACAUGUUCCUCGUCUUACCAUGAAUCUUUUUUCUGCUGCCAAACUUACUGAUUCUAGUUGUCGUGUCAUUCUUGAUACCCACUCUUGCUCCAUUCAGGAUCGUCGCACCAAGGCUUUGGUUGGUGCUGGCCCUCGGCCCCAUGAGUCAGAGGGCCUUUGGGAGGUUGACUGGCUUUGUGUUCCUUCCGCUGCCACCACUUCUGCCAGCUCCCAUGCUCUUUCUGCCUCUUCAUUUGCGUCCUUCCAGCAGUGGCAUCAUCACCUUGGUCACAUCUGUGGCUCUCGCUUGUCUUCUUUAGUUCGUCAGGGCCUCUUAGGGUCUGUAUCUGGAGAUGUCUCCUUACAUUGUAAUGGUUGCAGACUUGGCAAACAGACUCAGUUACCUUAUCCUACUAGUGAGUCAGUAUCUCAGCAUCCGUUUGACUUAGUUCAUUCUGAUGUCUGGGGUCCUGCUCCCUUUGAUUCGAAAGGUGGUCAUCGCUACUAUGUUUUGUUUAUUGAUGAUUUCUCUCGCUACACUUGGCUCUACUUCAUGAAAUCUCGUAGCGAGGUUCUCUCUAUAUACAAACGUUUUGCUGCCAUGGUUCACACUCAGUUUGCCACGUCCAUUCGUAUUUUUUGUGCUGACUCUGCUGGGGAGUAUAUCUCUUAGCUGUUGCAUGGUUUUCUAGAGGAACAGGGUACUCUUGCCCAGUUCUCAUGUCCUGGGGCUCAUGCUCAGAAUGGCGUUGCCGAACGCAAGCAUCGUCAUUUGCUUGAGACGGCUCGUGCGCUCAUGAUUGCUGCUUCCCUUCCACCCCAUUUUUGGGCUGAGGUUGUUUCUGCAUCCACCUAUCUCAUCAACAUUCAGCCAUUGACUGCUCUUCAGGGUGGUAUUCCUAUGGAGUGUCUCACUCGUCGCUCUCCUGACUACUCAGCUCUUCGUAUGUUUGGUUGUGUGUGCUAUAUUCUUCUUGCCCCCCAAGAACGCACCAAACUGACUGCUCAGUCGGUUGAGUGUGUUUUCCUUGGCUACAGUUAUGAGCACAAGGGUUAUCGCUGUUGGGAUCCUGUGGGUCGUCGCUUGCGCAUCUCGCGUGAUGUGAUUUUUGACGAGUCUCGUUCUUACUACCCACAUUCUUCUUCCUCGAGUUUCUCUGUCGACGACCUUUCCUUCCUUCUCCUUCCCGAUACGCCCCGCUACGUGCCUCCUGUGUCUCUUCUUCCUCCGGCACCUCUCAUUCCCUCUCAUUCACCAUCGACUCCGUCUUCUCCCUCCUCCUCCUCCACCUCUCCACCAUCCUCUCUAGUACGUCGUCCUCUCUCCCCGUUUCGUCUCCACUAUACUCGUCGACCUCAUACUGAGGAUGUCUCCUCUAACGAGCCUUCCACCUCUGCUGCACCUUUCACGCCUCCCCCGGUUCACAACCUCCAUGCUCGGCCUCGCCCUCCGCCUGAUCGCUACUCCCCUAAUCGGUACGGUCUCUCUGUUAUUGCUGAGCCCACUUCCUAUCGGACUGCCAUGACUCAGCCUGAAUGGCAACUUGCGAUGGCCGAAGAGCUUGCUGCUCUUGAGCGCUCUGGCACAUGGGAUCUGGUUCCCCUUCCUUCCGGUGUCCGUCCCAUCACCUGCAAGUGGGUCUACAAGAUUAAGACUCGCUCCGAUGGUUCUCUUGAGCGCUACAAAGCUCGUCUUGUGGCCCAUGGUUUUCAGCAGGAGCAGGGGCGCGAUUAUGAUGAGACAUUCGCUCCUGUGGCCCACAUGACCACUGCCCGCACUCUUCUUGUUGUGGCUUCUGUUCGUCAGUGGUCCAUCUCUCAACUUGAUGUUCAGAACGCUUUUCUCAAUGGUGAGUUGCGUGAGGAGGUCUAUAUGCAGCCCCCACCGGGGUACUAUGCUCCUGAUGGUCUGGUCUGUAGACUUCGCCGCUCCCUAUAUGGUCUCAAACAGGCCCCUCGCGUCUGGUUUGAGCGCUUUGCCUCUGUGGUGACUGCCGCUGGUUUCUUGCCCACUAAUCAUGAUCCAGGGUUGUUUGUUGACACGUCUCCUCGUGGUCGGACUCUUCUCCUUCUCUAUGUUGAUGACAUGAUCAUCACUGGUGACGACUCUGAUUACAUUGCCUUUGUUAAGGCUCGUCUUCGCAACCAGUUUCUCAUACUGAUCUUGGUCCACUUUGCUAUUUUCUUGGGAUUGAGAUCUCUUCGACUUCUGAUGGCUUCUACAUCUCCCAAGAAAAAUAUAUUCAGGAUCUUCUUGCUCGCGCUGCUCUCGGUGAUGAGCGCACUGUUGUCACUCCCAUGGAGCUCAAUGUUCAGCUUCGUGCCUCUGAUGGUGACCCUCUUCCUAAUCCCACUUGCUAUCGUCACCUUGUUGGCAGUCUUGUCUAUCUUGCUGUUACGCGUCCUGACAUCUCCUAUUCUGUCCACAUACUGAGUCAGUUCGUCUCAGCUCCCACCUCUGUCCACUAUAGUCAUCUCCUCUGUGUUCUACGAUAUCUUCGUGGCACGAUCUCUCAGUGCCUUUUCUUUCCCUGCUCCAGCUCUCUUGAGCUCCAGGCCUACUCUGAUGCUACCUACGCUAGUGAUCCCUCUGAUCGACGCUCACUGUCUGCUUAUUGUGUCUUUCUUGGUGGCUGUCUUAUUGCCUGGAAGACAAAGAAACAGACUGCAGUUUCUCGCUCGAGUACAGAGGCUGAGUUGCGAGCCAUGGCUAUGCUGACGGCUGAGGUGAUUUGGUUACGAUGGCUACUUGAGGAUUUUGGUGUGUCUGCUACUACAUCGACUCCUUUAUUGUCAGACAGUACUGGUGCUAUCAGCAUUGCGCGUGACCCGGUGAAGCAUGAGUUCACCAAGCACAUCGGUGUAGAUGCCCACUUUGUGCAUGCUGCUGUGCAGGAUCAGACUCUCGCUCUUCACUGUGUGCCCUUUGAGUUACAAUUGGCAGACUUCUUCACGAAGGCACAAACUCAAGCGCAGCAUAGUUUUCUUCUCUCCAAACUCAGUGUUGUCGACCCACCAUGAGUUUGAGGGGGGGUGUUAGAUGUGUAUAGCCCCUUUUCAGUUUAUCCCCAUUGUAUAAGGGGUCUCUUGCACUUCACCACACACUGGUAUAUGUAUUGGCCUUUGGCCCUCCUGAGAAUACAGUUGCUGUUUAUCCAACAGUUCUGAACUUGUUCCUUUCUCUCAUGAAGUAAUUUUAUGUGCAGGUCCGUCUACAUCAAGAAGGUGGAUAUUCUUUUCUGUAAAACAUGACCCUUUGAUUGAUUUGGGUUCAUUACUCAACUUUGUACUGCUUCCUCAUAUGACUCCCACUUCCAUAAAUGUUAUUUGGAUUCAGUUCUCUAUUAUUGUUUGUUUCCGAGUGUGUCACUUGAGUUUCUGAUAACUGUAGUGGGUGUCGGCAGAGUAGUGUAAGGUGGUGUUGUUCUGUGACAUUGCAGCUGCUCCUAGAUCGAUUC
rnacentral:lncRNA from 1 species